UACGUAGGGGCAAGCGUUGUCCGGAAUCAUUGGGCGUAAAGCGCGUGUAGGCGGCCCGGUAAGUCCGCUGUGAAAGUCGGGGGCUCAACCCUCGAAUGCCGGUGGAUACUGUCGGGCUAGAGUGCGGAAGAGGCGAGUGGAAUUCCUGGUGUAGCGGUGAAAUGCGCAGAUAUCAGGAGGAACACCAAUUGCGAAGGCAGCUCGCUGGGACGUGACUGACGCUGAGACGCGAAAGCGUGGGGAGCAAACAGG
rnacentral:rRNA from 1 species